rnacentral:lncRNA from 1 species
UUCUGUUAGUCCCAGCCCUUUCAGGAAUAUUCUGUUAGCUCCGCCCCUGUUUCUGUGAGCAUGCUCGCCUACCCUGUAGCCCCCUAUAUAAGGAGGCUCCUGUUUUUACUCAAGCGCUGAGACUUGUAUGAGCGCAGACAUAGGAGGCUGUGACACUGAGCUGUAACACUUGGCUGUAGCACCUAGUUGUUCGGCUUGCCAGAACAUUUUCAUUGUCUACUGUCCAUCACCCUCAGAAGAUCCUGCCCAACCAGAGGCAAUCACUGCUCUGAUUUCGUCACCCAUGGAAGUCCUGCCAGCAGCAAGAUGUAAUCUGGUGGAGGAAAUUCUGAGAAAUUUCACUGGAGUUAAGACAGCCGAGGAAUUGAGGGACCAGGGUGUCAAAAGGAACAUCAGGUGGGUCCGGGGGAGGGGAGGGACAAAAGCAGCUGAGAGAAAAGCAUUUCUGUCUUGGUGACCAAUUCCUCCUCAUGUGCCUGGGACU